CGUUGUUGGUUGGGGUGUUCUGCUUUCUUGCAACUGAAAGCCUGAUUAGAGAAACAGAACUGAGAAACACCCAUAGAACCUGAACCAGAUAAUGCUGGCGUAGGAAACCGACGGGCGUGGCUG
rnacentral:ncRNA from 1 species